AUGACCCACCCACUCUACCACCUGAGCCACAGCCGCCCCAUGUGUGUGUCUGUGUGUGUCCCAUGAUGCUUGAUUCCAAUGUGCAAGAUAUCUACGUUUAAACAGGACUUACACCAACAUUAGCACGUAUAUGCGGGCUUUUUUAAACGUCGGUAAAAACCUGCUAAAAUAAGUGAUUGACUCCUUUCACGUUGCCAUUGAGUUUGCCUUUUCUGUUUGUUUGUUUUUUUUUGGAUGUGUCGCGCUCGAAGUCACAAACGUGUCGGAAAACGCAAGGGUUGUGGGGAGCCGAUCCCAGAUGACCCUACAUGCUGUCGCUGCCUCUCUGAUGCCCGACCAUCCUCUCGCUCCUCUCCUGCUUGACGACUCUCCUGACCCCACCUGAACGCGCCAUGUCUUCGUCUUCUCUGGAGAGUCCUGGUCAGAGCCACUGUAAAUCACCUCCAUACUGUAUUCCCUGUCAUCAAACUGCAACAAAGGGAAUAAAGAAGAUUUCAUUGCCUGGAGGUGGAAGAAGGAGUGAAUAUCUGAAAGUUCAUAUUCAAGCUCCUUCUCAUUUAUCCCUCAAAAGUGCAUCAUUGUCAUGGAAACCAUCUCCCAUAACUGUAGCGAGAGAGGUAUGGAAAUACUCCUCCAGGCAGAGUCAUGCAGUAACUGUUUUCAGAUGUACUAUCAGCUGACAUUCGCCAUCAAAAGCCAAUUAAAUUUGGAGAUUCGAUUCCCUACUAUGACAAGAACUUGAUUACCACCAUUCAAAUGUUCUCUGUAUUAUUUCAAAGUGUCUUAAAAAGUGAUGCUUGUAGAAAACCUUGCAUUCAUCAUGGCAGCCAAGGACAAGCUCUAAAGUCAUUUUGAGUUUGAAGGCUUCUGUUUUUUAUUUUUCUGUUUUAAUUUGUGUGGCCAAAUAAAUGCUUUGCAACUAACAAGAUCAGUCUUUGUGCAGACCUCUACAUAGAUGUAUACAAAUCAAAACUUGCUCAGAGUUUGAUUGCAGUUAAGGUACAAGAUGAUUAUUUAGGAGUGAAUCUCCAACUUUCU